rnacentral:lncRNA from 1 species
GGGGAAGGGGCCCCAGCUGGGCUCAGCCGGCCCGGGGCCUCACCUCUUCCAGUUCCCCCCCACCCCACCCAACCCGUGGAGGGAGUGGGCGCCGCACUAGGAGACCUGGCCCCUCGGGGCUCCGCAGCCCCUCCCUGUCUGCAUAGCCCCUCCCUCCAGUCUGGUUUGUAAGACGUGGAGGCCCGGGGGAGGAGGAGAGACAUGGCCCAUACAGAGGCCCUAACGCGGCACCCUAUUAAACCCUGGGAAGUCUUCAGAGCCCGCCGUGGCCUCCCAUCAACAGCCGCCCCCCACCCCGUACUCCAUUCAUUCACUCACCCAGUACUCAAAACAUUUUCCAAAGCCUACUCAACUACACAGUGUCCCUAGACAGGCACAACCAAGACCCUGCCCACGAAGGGCUUUGAAUCCAAGAGGAGAGACUAGCCACAGGCAUGUGAACAGGCUUCAGUCAUUCAACAUAUAGGAGUACCUACUCUGCACCAAGCUCCAGAGCUCACAGAACUGGAGAAGCAUUCUCAAGUACAAACUCCUCAAAAUCUCUUCCUACCAACACCCUGGAUAAAUGGACACAUGAGUUUGCAUAUGCUGUUCCCUCUGCCUAGAAUGUCCUUCCACAUGGACUCCAUCUGGAAAACUCUUCUGCUUCCUGCAGGGGCUUGUUUAUCUUUGUAUCGCAAGCAUCUAUCACUAUUCCUGGCAGAGACCACCAGGUUUAUAAUAAGUUAUUAUGGAAGCCACAGGAAACUAAUACACCGUCCCCUGGAAGAACAAGGAAGGCCAAGCACACAGCGGCAGAUGAAGUUGUUGGCAGGUCUUUACCCAGGCUUUGUGAAAUGUUAUAGCAAUAUAGUUGUGCUAUGGAAGAUUCAGAGACAAACCUGUAAUACAUGA